rnacentral:misc_RNA from 1 species
GAUGAAGAACGCAGCGAAAUGCGAUAAGUAGUGUGAAUUGCAGACUUUAGUGAAUCAUCGAAUCUUUGAACGCACAUUGCGCCCCUUGGUAUCCCGAGGGGCAUGCCUGUUCGAGCGUCAUUUCACCACUCAAGCCUGGCUUGGUGUUGGGCGACGUCCUCUUUGGGGACGCGCCUCGAAACGCUCGGCGGCGUGGCACCGGCUUUAAGCGUAGCAGAAUCUUUCGCUUUGGAAGUCGGGGCCCCGUCUGCCGGAAGACCUGCUCGCAAGGUUGACCUCGGAUCAGGCAGGGAUACCCGCUGAACUUAAGCAUAUCAAUAAGCGGAGGA